rnacentral:lncRNA from 1 species
CUAGUAUUAGGACUUGCUGCUCGCAGCGGUGUUGAGUGGUGCUGGAAUAUUCUGGACAUGUACGUGGAUGACUGGUCAGUACUAUCUCUAUCUUUGAUCAGUCAUAUUUCAUUUGCGAAUUCAACUGAUAAUUAGUCUUUGGCCUAUGUGAUCAAUGAAGGAAUGCUAUAUAGAUUUUACAACUAUGUAUGAGAUUUAUGCUUUAAUUCUGCUGUUCAAUAUUGUUUUCGUUUUAAAUUUGUCGUCGGGUGUUUGGGAGCUGUGUGCUGCUGUAUGGAUAUGCUGGGGGGGAUUUUUAUGGCACUGUUGAUGAUUCUGUUUUGCUCCUCCUGAUGAAAUUAAAUUUAAUUAGAAUUUGGAUCCCCUUAAUUAACUUGAUAGGCUUGCUGCGAACGUUAUUGUUUGCCAAAGGAGGGGUAAAACUCUCUUCGGGAGGGGGGGGGUAAUAUAACCAACUCCUUAAAAGAACGAUCCUAGCUGUUCCCACUUCCCAAUUCCAAUAUUGUAGAGACCCGUAAAGCGCAAAUUCUACUGUGCCGUACAACUAAAAAUUGCGAAUUACAACUAUUGGCAACAGAUUAUUGACACGUGUCAAGAAGUAGAGUAAAAAUUAGAAAGUGCACGGGCCUCCACCCUAGCUGAGACGAUCACUUCUCUAACAGACUACAGCAACAGAAAGAAGAGAAAAUUCCAAGUAGAUGGCGAAGGCACCACCACCACCCAAAGGCAAUAUGUUCCAAGUUGAAACGAGGCAGGCUUCUCCAUUUCACCAGCUUCUCAAAAUCAAUUAGGUUAAACCAAAUAAAAGCACCAAUUGAAAACAUAUACUUUAUAUACUAUAAAAAACUAGGGGUGCAACAUGUGAACG